AGUGAACGCUGGCGGUAGGCCUAACACAUGCAAGUCGAACGGCAGCACAGUAAGAGCUUGCUCUUACGGGUGGCGAGUGGCGGACGGGUGAGGAAUACAUCGGAAUCUACUUUUUCGUGGGGGAUAACGUAGGGAAACUUACGCUAAUACCGCAUACGACCUACGGGUGAAAGCAGGGGAUCUUCGGACCUUGCGCGAUUGAAUGAGCCGAUGUCGGAUUAGCUAGUUGGCGGGGUAAAGGCCCACCAAGGCGACGAUCCGUAGCUGGUCUGAGAGGAUGAUCAGCCACACUGGAACUGAGACACGGUCCAGACUCCUACGGGAGGCAGCAGUGGGGAAUAUUGGACAAUGGGCGCAAGCCUGAUCCAGCCAUACCGCGUGGGCGAAGAAGGCCUUCGGGUUGUAAAGCCCAUUUGUUGGGAAAGAAAAGCAGCAGGUUAAUACCCCGCUGUUCUGACGGUACCCAAAGAAUAAGCACCGGCUAACUUCGUG
rnacentral:rRNA from 1 species